rnacentral:rRNA from 1 species
UACGUAGGGGGCAAGCGUUGUCCGGAAUCAUUGGGCGUAAAGAGCGUGUAGGCGGCCCGAUAAGUCCGCUGUGAAAGUCCAGGGCUCAACCCUGGAAGGCCGGUGGAAACUGUCGGGCUAGAGUCCGGAAGAGGCGAGUGGAAUUCCCGGUGUAGCGGUGAAAUGCGCAGAUAUCGGGAGGAACACCAAUGGCGAAGGCAGCUCGCUGGGACGGUACUGACGCUGAGACGCGAAAGCGUGGGGAGCAAACAGG